rnacentral:rRNA from 1 species
GGGUCAGUAGGUUGGUCGUGCCACCGGUACGUACUGGUCUCACUGAUUCCUCCUUCCUGAAGAACCGUAAUGCCAUUAAUUUGGUGUUGCGGGGUAACAGGACUGUUACUUUGAAAAAAUUAGAGUGUUUAAGGCAAGCUAACGCUUGAAUACAUUAGCAUGGAAUAAUGAAAUAGGACGAUCGAUCCUAUUUUGUUGGUUUCUAGGAUUGACGUA